AUCCAUCUUUUGUUGUGAGGGAAUUUCUAAGGUGAUAUCAAUGUUAUUGAUGUACCAGUUCUUGCGAAUAAAGUUGUAAGUCCGUGCCAAAAUACGGGGCGCUUCUUUACGCGGAUUACCCUUUAAAGGGAUCUGGGUUUUUUCUUUAUUGAAGACAAUUUGUCC
rnacentral:sRNA from 1 species